rnacentral:rRNA from 1 species
UACGAAGGGGGCUAGCGUUGUUCGGAAUUACUGGGCGUAAAGCGCGCGCAGGCGGUCUUCCAAGUCAGUGGUGAAAGCCCGGAGCUCAACUCCGGAACUGCCAUUGAAACUGUAAGACUUGAGGAUGAGAGAGGUGAGUGGAAUUCCCAGUGUAGAGGUGAAAUUCGUAGAUAUUAGGAAGAACACCGGUGGCGAAGGCGGCUCACUGGCUCAUAUCUGACGCUCAGGCGCGACAGCGUGGGGAUCAAACAGG